rnacentral:rRNA from 1 species
GAUCCUGGCUCAGGGAUGAACGCUAGCGGCAGGCUUAAUACAUGCAAGUCGUGGGGCAGCGCAGGUAGCAAUACUGGGCGGCGACCGGCAAACGGGGUGCGGAACACGUACACAACCUUACCGAGAAGUGGGGAAUAGCCCAGAGAAAUUUGGAUUAAUACCCCGUAACAUAACGAUGUGGCAUCACAUUGUUAUUAUAGCUUCGGCGCUUCUUGAUGGGUGUGCGGCUGAUUAGAUAGUUGGCGGGGUAACGGCCCACCAAGUCUACGAUCAGUAGCUGAUGUGAGAGCAUGAUCAGCCACACGGGCACUGAGACACGGGCCCGACUCCUACGGGAGGCAGCAGUAAGGAAUAUUGGUCAAUGGACGCAAGUCUGAACCAGCCAUGCCGCGUGAAGGAUUAAGGUCCUCUGGAUUGUAAACUUCUUUUAUCUGGGACGAAAAGAGGCGAUUCUUCGUCACUUGACGGUACCAGAUGAAUAAGCACCGGCUAACUCCGUG